rnacentral:sRNA from 1 species
CGCGGGCGGCCGCGGCGUCCCUGUCAGCGCCCGCGGCGAGGACCCCGGGGCUGGGGCGGACGGCGUGCCCCUGAGGGGGCUCCCCGCGGGAGCGCGGAGCCGGCGACUGGUGCUUCCCACGUGCGCCGGUGUCGCGAGGGCCCGGGAGGACGCACAGCACGGCCGGGAGAAGCAUGGGAAGGAGGCCGAGCCGGGAUCUCAGGUCCUCGGGGGCGGCGGCCACGCCAAGGACGGCAUUUAUGACAUUAACAGAGAACAGGACUAUGUCAAGAAUUCUGAGGGUAUACUUGGUGAAAAUGAAUUAAGACCACCCUCCCAGCUACAUUCUCUCUUAGAGAAGAUCGAGACAGGGUCCCUAUCAGAAAAGAUUUUUGAGACAGUGUCCUUGAGUUCAGACUCUCUCUUCCAGAGGGCAGUUUCACUCCUCCAUACUUCUUACUUGGACUCUUCAUCUGAGCAUGGUUUUCAGUACAGUCAAGUGACUUUGGUGAAAAAUGACAUUUUCUUAAAUGAG